rnacentral:rRNA from 1 species
GACACUUGAGGUUUGAAAGCGUGGGUAGCAAACAGGAUUAGAUACCCUGGUAGUCCACGCAGUAAAACGAUGUCUACCAGUCGUUGGGUCCCUUGAGGACUUAGUGACGCAGCUAACGCAAUAAGUAGACCGCCUGGGGAGUACGGCCGCAAGGUUAAAACUCAAAUGAAUUGACGGGGGCCCGCACAAGCGGUGGAGCAUGUGGUUUAAUUUGAUGCAACGCGAAGAACCUUACCUGGUCUUGACAUAUCUAGAAUCCUGCAGAGAUGCGGGAGUGCCUUCGGGAAUUAGAAUACAGGUGCUGCAUGGCUGUCGUCAGCUCGUGUCGUGAGAUGUUGGGUUAAGUCCCGCAACGAGCGCAACCCUUGUCCUUAGUUACCAGCGGGUUAAGCCGGGAACUCUAAGGAUACUGCCAGUGACAAACUGGAGGAAGGCGGGGACGACGUCAAGUCAUCAUGGCCCUUACGACCAGGGCUACACACGUGCUACAAUGGUAGGUACAGAGGGCAGCUACACAGCGAUGUGAUGCGAAUCUUUCAAAGCCUAUCGUAGUCCAGAUUGGAGUCUGCAACUCGACUCCAUGAAGUAGGAAUCGCUAGUAAUCGCGGAUCAGAAUGCCGCGGUGAAUACGUUCCCGGGCCUUGUACACACCGCCCGUCACACCAUGGGAGUUGAUUGCACCAGAAGUGGUUAGCC